UGGCCUAUAACUCAGUUUCCCCUUUUGCCCUUCUUCACACCCAUUCAGGCCCCAAGCACAGCACACUCCCUGCUGUUUUCCAAGCUCACACCCAAGGCCUUGCCUCUGGGCCUGUGCCCAUGCUGUUCCACAAUGUGAAAUCUUACAUAUCUUUAAUCUGCAUUACUUCCAUGGAUCUUUCCUGACCCUUGAGUGACAAUUAAUAGCUUUGUCUGCAUUCCGUAGAAUGGCUAUACAUCUCUCCAUCACAGAAUUUAGCACACGGAAUUAUCAUUAAUAGCUAACAUACCUGUGAGCCCCACUAGAGAACGUGGCAGAGGUCAAGGUUUACUCAUCUCUUAACCUUGUUUAGCCCAGUCCCUUACACACAUGUGCAGAGAGAGUGUGUGUGAGCGUGUGAGAGCAAGUGUGCUAGAUAAAUGCUGGCUGACUCUUUAAGAACAAGGUUUUCGUGGUUAACCCAGCUUCAAUAUGAAAUUCAAAACAAUGAAGACAGGACUCAAACAUAGCAGGGAAAUAAUAUACACUUUUAACUCUCAAAAUAAAUACUAAUCAAUUUUAUUGUAUAAAUACAGAUGCUGAGUUUUCUUCCAGUUACCAACAGAUCAGUUUCACAUGCCAUUUAUUAUUCGUGGUGGUUUAAAAAAUUAUUUAAAUAACUGGUUAGGUCAGGAUAAAUGGGCACCAUUAGAACUGCUAAAAAAUAUAUAGCUGGGCACAAUCUUCCAAAACUAAUAUUCUGAGGGGAAAAAAAUCUCUGGAAUUUCUAAAGUGGUUAAGGGGAAGUGAAGAGAAAAAACACAAUCAAAUAUUCAUUUGAUAACAUUUGCCCGCUGUUUAAAAGUGUCUCAGCUGUAAGAAAACUGAAAGGGUUCUUAGCAGUUCAGAAAUAGAUAGUAAUGAGUUUCCAAUUCAACUUAUAUCUUCCAAGCAAACAAUUUUCUUAGUGAUUUACAAAACUAAAAGGUUAGUAGGAGAUAAUAACUCAUCCCUUAUUUUGGCCCCAGCCACUUUAAACAGAGGCCAUACUAACUCUACAACUUUGGAAAACGUCAAACAGUUAUUCCAGGAGACGGGUAAUCCCAUAGGUUCUACCCAGGUCAUGGCAGAAACUGCAGACAUCAAACAAGUUCAAAUGAAAACCCCAAACUCGAACUAAACGAACCCAAACCUAAGUGGUGUUUUGAGGCAUCACCACGGGGCUGUGUGGGUCGAGGCAAAUGUGUAGGCACCUAGCAAUCAGCUCUGAGCAGCCCGAUGACAUUCAAGAGCAGGGCUCCCCGCCGUGCGGUGAAAAGCCACAAGCCCAGGAUCAACCAGGGAGUCUGCACAGCGGUGGGGGGCACUGACGGGUAGACCCCAGAGUCCAGGCUCUCAUGGUUGUGUGGGCCUGAGAUGGACACUGUAAUCAUGAGGAGUCCUGCUCCUUGGUGGUGCCAGCGCCAGGCUGGAUGCCCUGCAACCCAGUGUACCUACUUUGAGUUUGGUGUGACAUUUAAGUCCAUCCCGCACCUGGGGCAAUCGUAAGUCCCACGGGGUUGACCUUCCAUUCUGCAAUCCUAACACUGCCCUUCAGAACUUUUCUUUUUUUUUGGUAAAUGUUACUUCCCUGGAGGGCCCCGCAGCACGUGCAUAUCCACGAUGCUGUCUCC
rnacentral:lncRNA from 10 species